rnacentral:lncRNA from 1 species
GCACUAUAGCGGAAUACGCAAAAAGAUGCAAACUAGAUAGCAACAGAAUAGACCUCACUCGGAAUGAUAGCUAAAAUACGUAAAAAGGUGUACAAAGUAAACAAGAGAGUGGGAGGUACCAACUCCCGGUGGAAAAACCUGAAAGUAGGCUUUGAUGCGCCCAAGGUCAACUCCUACCGACUCUUGCACGUCCCGGCCGGUGCUGCUUAGCU